GACGAACGCUGGCGGCGUGCUUAACACAUGCAAGUCGAACGGAAAGGCCCUGCUUGCAGGGUACUCGAGUGGCGAACGGGUGAGUAACACGUGGGUGAUCUGCCCUGCACUUCGGGAUAAGCCUGGGAAACUGGGUCUAAUACCGGAUAGGAGCCAUUUUUAGUGUGAUGGUUGGAAAGUUUUUUCGGUGUAGGAUGAGCUCGCGGCCUAUCAGCUUGUUGGUGGGGUAAUGGCCUACCAAGGCGGCGACGGGUAGCCGGCCUGAGAGGGUGGACGGCCACAGUGGGACUGAGAUACGGCCCAGACGCCGACGGGAGGCAGCAGUGGGGAAUAUUGCACAAUGGGCGCAAGCCGGAUGCAGCGACGCCGCGUGGGGGAUGACGGCCUUCGGGUUGGAAACUCCUUUCGCUAGGGACGAAGCUUUUUGUGACGGUACCUAGAGAAGAAGCACCGGCUAACUACGUG
rnacentral:rRNA from 1 species